CUUUUUUUUUUCUUUUUUCUCUUUCUCUUUUCCUCUUUCUUACUUUAUGUAUCCCACCUGAAGCAUGUGUGAGUUGUGUGCCCAUUUAUGGUUUUCAAGUCACAGAGGUUACCAAAGCCAUCAGAGUGACAAAGACAGAUCUUUGACCCAGGGAGCCAGAAGGGAUCUCUGUGAGAGCUUUCUUUUUAUCAAUCUACCAGCCUUCAUUCAGCUGACCUAGAUUUAGAUCAGAUCUUCCUACCAUGUGCAGAGAGAGAACAAAAGAGCUCACAUGGAAAGAAAAGGACAGUUUCAGGAGACCUCUUGAGAGAAAAAGCACAUGGAUGAACACAGCUGCUCACCAAAAUAUCACCUUUUGUUCACCUUGCAAGUAAACCCUGCAGCCCCUUGGCCAGAUCCCAAAGCCAGGUCAGGCUGAGAUUUCAAAAUGACCAGCUCCACACCUGAUACCACACAGCAGCAAAAUGAAAACACCAGCCCAACUGAAAAAUGGGAAAAAGACCUGAAUAUAUUGCCCUAAACCAGAUAGAGAGGGCUAUCAGCACAUGAAAAAUUGAUCACCAUCACUAAUGAGGAGAGAAAUGCCAAUCCAAAAUACUCAGAGGUACCUCCUCACACCUCUCUGAAUGGCCAUGAUUAGGAAGUCUACAAAUAAGCAGUCCUGGAGAGGGUGUCACGUAGAAGUUGCGCUCAUACGCUGUGAUUGGAUAUGCACAUUGGUAAAACCACUAUGGACCACAGGAUUGGGGUAAAUCAGAAAUAUAAAUAAAGCACCACUGUAUUACACAGCAAUCCCACUCUUGGGCAUAUAUCUGGAAAAAUAUUCUUUAAAAAUGUUAAAGGUACCUCUAUGUUCAUUUCAGCACUAUUCGCAAUAGCCAAGACAUGGAAAUAAACACAAAGUCCAUCAUUAGAAGAACUGAUUAAGUAGAUGUUAAUACAUACACAAUAUAAUACUCCUCAGCCAUAAAAUAAGAACCCCACAAAUACCAUCAGCAGCCACAGAUAUGGGACUGGAAACCUCCAGGCUAUGAGAAAUAAGAGUGACAGAGAAACACAAAUACCAUAGAAUACCCCUUCUCUCUGGAAUCUCAAAAAUGGCACAAAUGAAUACCUCUAUAGAAAAGAAACUCAUGGACUGGAAAACAGGUGGCUGGUUUCCAGAUUGGAAGGACUGUGUGUGGGAAGGACUGCGAUUUGGGGUUAAUCAAUGCAAACUCUUUCACUUGGUGUGAGUAAGUGAUGAGAUCCUGCCCAAUAGCAUAGGGAAUUCUAUCCAGAAGGGGGAUAAUUUGGGGAGAAGAACGUGUAUAUACAUAGAGGUCUGGUUCACUUUGCUGUCAAAGAGCAAUGGAGCACUCUAAAUCAGCUAUAAUGAAAUUUUAAAAAUGAUAAAAUAAAUACACCACAAUUACAGGCUCCGUGUUCACCAGAGAAGGUUUCUGAGUCCAGACUCCUGGAUCUCAGGGGGAAAAAAAAAAAAAAAGGCAGACUGCCUUGGUUGAACCUGUCAAGAUUUCUUGACAGGUAAUAACAUCCGACCAGAUGUUAUUACCUGGGGUGUAUGAAUUUAUUCCUAUAUAAACAGAUUUAUAUAUUUAUUUUUACUUACCAAUGGAUUUUGUUUUCUGCACCCAUUUGUGGCAUGCAGAUACUCUCUGGCCAAGAACUGUAUCCACGCCACGGCUGCACAACCCCAGGCUCGUACUGCCAACCCUCUAGCACUGGAGGUGUUUUAUCAAGAGAACCUUUAUUAUUUCCUUAUCUGUCAAUUACCUUGGCUGCUCUGUAGGAAUGUAUGUAUGUAUUUAUGGACUUCUUUACCACUAGAGCUCAUUCAUUUCACUAUCUCUUUUUAUUUAUAAAUUAAUUUGAGGGACACCUGUGACAUUGGGAUGUGGUCUGGCCAGGGUUUGCUUUCCCAACACAGCUCUCACUACAGCCACAGCACUGAGAGAGAAAAGGAGACUCUUAAGGUGGACAACCAUGAGGGAACUCUCAGAGAGCUUUCUUGAUGAUAUCAAGCAACCCUGCUUAAUUCAUCAGACCUGAAUUUAGUCAGAUCUCUAUACACUGGGGCCAUACUGAAGAGGCUCAUCUCAAAAGGUAAGAAGAAAAUUUCCCUGGGUGUCUCGGGUGAAAAGAGCACUGGGAUUAGCCCGUCUGCCCAGUGUAAUGCCAAUGAAGUCACUCAUUCAUUCUUCUGCACCUCCUCAUAACAAAACCCCUGGCAGUAAGGGGCUUGAAAAUGGCCAGCUCAUGAUUCAAACCCGACCUGGUGUGGGUCUCAGCUUAUGGCUCUGGAGGUACACAAGGCAUUCUGAAACCCAGUGAAUCCCUCAAGCAUUCUCAAUGCACCACCCCCCAACCAGGCUGCAAAUCCACAUCAAAUGCUGAAGCAAUGCAUUUGUCCUCUGCCUGACAUGAGGCAUCUUGAAGGAGAGAGUGCCAGGUGCCCAGAAAACAACUAAAAACCUAUGAGUGCUUGGUGUGGGUUCCACCCAACACACCAUAAACCCCUCCUCUGAGCCUUGGAGCUGCACCUGUGUCCAGAAGGGAAUCUGGAGCCAUUUUGUGGACACCUGCUCUAACAACCACUCUCAGAUUUUCCUCCUCACUGGCUCAGCAGCACCCAAGGAUGUAUUGGCUGUGGGCCAUAUGUGGGUUGGGUCUCAUUCAACCAACUUCUGGAAAUACCAAGCAGUGCCCUUCUAAGUGGGCUCUUUAUUUCUCAAAGGCUUUCAGGGACCUGAGGCAAAGCUACACCAUGUCACUCCAUUCAAACACUCAGCAGCAGUCCCAUAUGUCUUGAGAGAGUAUUUUGUUACAUAUGUAUAUGUAUGUGUAUAUAUAUAUACACACACACACGUGCACAUAUACAUACAUAUACAUCAUGUUUGAGUAGCAUUCCAUUGCGUAUAUAUCCAUCCUCUUCUGAAUCCUAUCAUCUCCCGAUGGACAUUAAGUUGUUUCCCAUGUUUGGCUAUUGUGAAGAGUGCUGUAUGAACAUAAUGGGGCUUUUAAAUUUUUAACAGAAUUCCAGAAAUAGGACCAGGAGUGGGUCCUGAGGUCGUUCUCUAUUGAUUUUUGUGGAUUCCCUCGAUCGUGUGGUCCAUCGCGGUUGUCCACACGUACAAAAAUACCCACCGUGGAGGAGAGCAUCUUCUUGUCCACACCCUCUCAGGGAUGUGUGCCUUGUAGACUUCCUAAUGGUGGCCCUUCAGAGAGAGGUGGGUUGGUCCUUCAGAGUCCCUUUGACGUGCAUUUCUCUCCUCAUGAGGGAUGCGGGUCCCAUGUCUCCCAGUGCUUUUUGCCCUCUGCAUGUCUGUUUAGUGAAGUAUCUAUUCAGGACUUUUGCCAUUUUCCCCUUGGGUUUGGGGUUUUGUUUGGCUGUUGACAGGUGUCUGUUGUCAAGCUGUUGAUUGUGAAACCCCAGCCUGACCUAGGCUUUGGUACCAGGAGAAAGUGCCUGAGGGUCGUGCAUGGAAGGUGGUCAAACGGUGAUCCUUUGGUGAGCAGCUGUGUUAAUCCCUGGGCAGUUUCUCGCCAGAGGUCUCCUGAAAUGCCGUCCUUGUCUUUACCUUUCUUUACCUCUUCUGGUCUCUCAAUACAGCUGGUACGAAAAUCUGACCUAAGGCUGGUAGAUUGAUUGUGAAAAAGGGAGGUGUCACCAAGAAUCCCGAUUCCCUGGGUAAAAGAGCUUUGUCCCUGUGGUGGGUUUGCUCACCACUUUUGUUGGAAAACCAUCCAUAUGCAGUCAACUCAGCCCAGCAAAUGUGGGGUCAAUAAAUUUGGAAGAAUGAGGGAAAGAGAGGACAAAAGGAAUGAAAGCAAAGAAGCAGUAUUUUGGCAUAGGAAGGAAGGAAUCACACCUGGAAAAUGAUGAAAAAAUCAAUUGUUAUAUACCUACUUAAUCUCUCUUCAUCAAUACAUCAUUGCAGGGAGCGCUGCACAAGGAAGAAUGUUAUCAUGAUGUGAUGGGUUGGGAGCUGAAUAUUUGAAUGGAGUGGCAAAGUGUAGGUUGGGCUCAAGGCUCUGAAAGCCUUUGAGAGAGAAAUGGCCCACAUGGGUUGGCACUUCUUGCUAGAUCAUAUGGAAGAAGGAAAAUAUGGAAGAAGGAAAUUCAAGGAGCAUAUUGCCCCUAGCCAGUGCAGCCCAUGUUGCAGGGGAGGGUCUGAGCCAGAGGAGGAAAACCUGAGAGUUGCUGUUAGAGCAGGUGUCCACAAGACGGCGCCGGAGCACCUUCUGGACCCAGGUGCAGCGGCAAGGCUGCAGGUGCAGGCUGAGUGGUGGGAUGGAGAGUGUGUGGAUCGGAAGCCACAGCAAGCGCCCAGAGGCCUUUGCGUUGUUUCCUGGGCACCUGUGACUCUCUGGUCCAAGACGCCUCCUGUCAGGCAGAGGACACAGGCGUCCCUGUAGCAUUUGGAGGUGGAUCUGCAGCCUGGUUGUUUGGGAGUGUGCUUAGAAUGCUUGUAGGAUUCACUGGGUGUCGGAAUGCCUUUUGUUCCACCAGAGGCAGGGGCUGAGAAACACAUAUCAUCUGUGCUUUUCAUGAGCUGGCCUUUUUCCAGCCCCUGACCAUCAAGGGGUUUUGAUAUGUGCAGGAAGUGGCUGGUACUAAUGUAAGUAUGCGGGACCUCGGUGGCAUUAGGUUGGGCAAGAUUGCUAACCCCUGUGCUUUUUUCACUCAAGAGACUUCGUGAAGUUUUCUUCUUGCCUUUUGAGAUUAGCCUCAUUUUUUAGUACGGUUCCAGGUUAUGGAUGCCUGACUGAACCCAGUCCUGAUGAAUAAAGCAGGGUUGAUUGGUAUCAUCAAGAAUGCUACCCUCGUAGCUUCCGUGCUUAAGAGUCUCUCUGUCACUGCUGUGGCUGUGGUAAUAAGUGGGUUGUGAGAUCAAACUCUGGCUAGACCAUAGCCCAUUAUCUCAUGUGGCUCCCAAAUACCUUUAUAAAGAGAUAUUGAAAAGAAUGAGCUGAAUUGAUAAGCAUGUCAAUGAAUACAUAGAUGACUACACAGUAGCUAAGCGAAGUGAUAAACAAUCCUAAAGGCUCUCCUGACCCAACACCUCGGGUGACAGGUGAAAAAAGUACUAGCCUGGGAUGUAGAGCAGAGUCUCGCACCCAAUUCCUAGGCAGAGGGUAUCUGCAUUCCACACAUGGGUGAAGGAAUAUCAAUAGUUAAGUAAAACAUACAUACAUAAAAAUAUGAUUAUAGGAAUAAUUUCAUACUCGCUACAUCAGUAUGUCUCAUCGGAUUUCACAUUGCUAGGAAAUCUUGAUGUUUUCAACAGUCAGUUUGCCAGUCUCUUUUCUCUAAAGGCAGGAGUCUCGACACAGUCAUAUUGUCUGCUGAACACUGAGCCCAUGAUUGGUGGGGUUUUUAUCAUUUAAUAUUUUCAAGUAUCGCUUAUGUAUGGUGGUCCAUUUCAAUCUUGCAGCAAAGUGAUCUAGUCAUCCACGUAUGGACAUACUUUUUAUAACCAGAUAUCCACAAGAUGCAUCCAGAGUACCUUCUG
rnacentral:lncRNA from 1 species